UACGUAGGAGGCAAGCGUUAUCCGGAAUGACUGGGCGUAAAGGGUGCGUAGGUGGUUCAGCAAGUUAGUAGCGUAACUCCGGGGCUCAACCUCGGCACUACUACUAAAACUGUUGGACUUGAGUGCAGGAGGGGCAACUGGAAUUCCUAGUGUAGCGGUAAAAUGCGUAGAUAUAUGGAAGAACACCGGUGGCGAAGGCGGCUUGCUGGGCCUGUACUGACAUUGAGGCACGAAAGCGUGGGGAGCAAACAGG
rnacentral:rRNA from 1 species